rnacentral:rRNA from 1 species
GGGGGGGGGGGGGGGGGGGGGGGGGGGGGGGGGGGGGGGGGGGGGGGGGGGGGGGGGGUGGGGGGGGGGGGGGGGGGGGGGGGGGGCCGGGCGUGGGGAGGGGGACAACAGCUGGAAGCGGCGGCUAAUACCCCGUAGGCUGAGGAGCGAAAGGAGGAAUCCGCCCAAGGAGGGGCUCGCGUCUGAUUAGCUGGUUGGUGAGGUAAUAGCUUACCAAGGCCGUGAUCAGUAGCUGGUCCGAGAGGAUGAUCAGCCACACUGGGACUGAGACAAGGCCCAGACUCCUACGGGAGGCAGCGGUGGGGAAUGUUCCGCAAUGGGCGAAAGCAUGACGGAGCAAUGCCGCGUGGAGGUAAAAGGCCUACGGGUCAUGAACUUCUUUUCCUGGAGAAGAAAAAAUGACGGUAGCUGGGGAAUAAGCAUCGGCUAACUCUGUG